rnacentral:rRNA from 1 species
AGAGUGCAGGAGAGGAAGNUAGAUUUCCCGGUGUAGCGGUGAANUGNGUAGAGAUCGGGAGGAAUACCAGUGGNGANGGCGNCUUUUUGGACUGACACUGACAUUGAGGUGCGAAAGCGUGGNUAGCAACCAGGAUUAGAUACCCUGNUAGUCCACNCCGUAAACGAUGUCAACUAGCCGUUGGGUCCCUUGAGGANUUAGUGGCGCAGCUAACGCAAUAAGUUGACCGCCUGGGGAGUACGGCCGCAAGGUUAAAACUCAAAUGAAUUGACGGGGGCCCGCACAAGCGGUGGAGCAUGUGGUUUAAUUCGAUGCAACGCGAAGAACCUUACCUACCCUUGACAUCCAGAGGACUUUCCAGAGAUGGAUUGGUGCCUUCGGGAACUCUGAGACAGGUGCUGCAUGGCUGUCGUCAGCUCGUGUUGUGAAAUGUUGGGUUAAGUCCCGUAACGAGCGCAACCCCUAUCCUUAUUUGCCAGCGAGUAAUGUCGGGAACUCUAAGGAGACUGCCGGUGACAAACCGGAGGAAGGUGGGGACGACGUCAAGUCAUCAUGGCCCUUACGGGUAGGGCUACACACGUGCUACAAUGGCAAGUACAAAGGGUUGCAAUACGGCGACGUGGAGCCAAUCCCAUAAAGCUUGCCUCAGUCCGGAUUGGAGUCUGCAACUCGACUCCAUGAAGUCGGAAUCGCUAGUAAUCGUGGAUCAGAAUGCCACGGUGAAUACGUUCCCGGGCCUUGUACACACCGCCCGUCACACCAUGGGAGUGGACUGCACCAGAAGUGGUUAGCCUAACCUUCGGGAGGGCGAUCAUUCNCGUUNU